AUUGAACGCUGGCGGCAGGCGUAACACAUGCAAGUCGAGCGGAGCGAGGGUGCUUGCACCUUAGCUUAGCGGCGGACGGGUGAGUAAUGCUUAGGAAUCUGCCUAUUAGUGGGGGACAACAUUCCGAAAGGGAUGCUAAUACCGCAUACGCCCUACGGGGGAAAGCAGGGGAUCACUUGUGACCUUGCGCUAAUAGAUGAGCCUAAGUCGGAUUAGCUAGUUGGUGGGGUAAAGGCCUACCAAGGCGACGAUCUGUAGCGGGUCUGAGAGGAUGAUCCGCCACACUGGGACUGAGACACGGCCCAGACUCCUACGGGAGGCAGCAGUGGGGAAUAUUGGACAAUGGGGGGAACCCUGAUCCAGCCAUGCCGCGUGUGUGAAGAAGGCCUUUUGGUUGUAAAGCACUUUAAGCGAGGAGGAGGCGCUCUAGGAUAAUACCCUAGAUGCGUGGACGUACUC
rnacentral:rRNA from 1 species